AUUGAACGCUGGCGGCAUGCUUUACACAUGCAAGUCGAACGGCAGCGCGGGCUUCGGCCUGGCGGCGAGUGGCGAACGGGUGAGUAAUACAUCGGAACGUGCCCAGUAGUGGGGGAUAGCUCGGCGAAAGCCGGAUUAAUACCGCAUACGACCUGAGGGUGAAAGCGGGGGAUCUUCGGACCUCGCGCUAUUGGAGCGGCCGAUGGCAGAUUAGCUAGUUGGUGGGGUAAAGGCCUACCAAGGCGACGAUCUGUAGCUGGUCUGAGAGGACGACCAGCCACACUGGGACUGAGACACGGCCCAGACUCCUACGGGAGGCAGCAGUGGGGAAUUUUGGACAAUGGGCGAAAGCCUGAUCCAGCAAUGCCGCGUGUAUGAUGAAGGCCUUCGGGUUGUAAAGCACUUUUGGCGGGAACGAAAAGGACUGUGCCAAUACCACGGUUCGAUGACGGUACCCGCAGAAUAAGCACCGGCUAACUACGUG
rnacentral:rRNA from 1 species